AUGAUUUUCUUUUUGAUUUCUGCCGACGGACCUAUCGGAGUCCCUCCUAUGGGAUUUGAGAAGAGGUGUUUCUGCGAUGAUGGCUCAUUGUUAUCGGUGUUGUGUGAAUCGACGGUGAGGAUACAGUUGGAGGGGCGAUCGAGAUUCCUAGGAAGAUCAAGACAAGAUCAGACGUGGUUGGAAAUUGAUGUAUGUAUGCAGGUUUUGAACUGUCAUUGUGAGGCAGGUUAUGUAUGCAGGUUUUGA